rnacentral:rRNA from 1 species
UACGGGGGGGGGCAAGCGUUGUUCGGAAUUACUGGGCGUAAAGGGCUCGUAGGUGGCCAACUAAGUCAUACGUGAAAUCCCUCGGCUUAACCGGGGAACUGCGUCUGAUACUGGAUGGCUUGAGUUUGGGAGAGGGAUGCGGAAUUCCAGGUGUAGCGGUGAAAUGCGUAGAUAUCUGGAGGAACACCGGUGGCGAAGGCGGCAUCCUGGACCAAUACUGACACUGAGGAGCGAAAGCCAGGGGAGCAAACGGG